GUAGAAGUGGAAACAGUAAAACAAAUAAAGGAGGAAUCGCUGCUGAAGUGAAGUGAGAAGGAGGAGCUGCAUGACAUCUUAACUAGCCAAAUACGGACUUUGCUCUCACUUCACCUGUGUUUUCAUUCACUCUUUCUGCAUCGCCAGAAUCAAGCACAAAUACAAGCUCCAGCACGAUACUGCUGCAGUAUGGAUAAUAUUCAAAAUGCUAAGAGUGAGACAGAGGAGGUGAAAGUUACGAUGCUGGAAAAUGAAAAUAAAGCAGAGGAUUUCAAACAAAAACCUGCAAAGCCUCAGUGCACCAGGAAAAGAUGUAAGGAGUCUGCUGUGAACCAGAAGAUGGAGUACCUGCGGGCUAAUAAAGGACUCGUAGCCACUGUGUUGAUUUCAGCUGCUCUUAUUCUUGUUGUUGUAGUUGCCAUGCUUGCCACUACAGAUGGGCAUAGUCACUCAGCGCACAACACAAAACACAUUGUGCAUGUGCAUAAUGUCACAGAAAUGCCAUAGCAAUAGCUGCAGCAGACUAAAUCAGUUUGACCCGCAUUGUUAUUUUCUUUAUUAAAAAGUAUUUUCAUUUGAAACAGUUUCUGAUAUUGAUUGUUUUAUGUUAUAAAGUGUCACCUGAUCAAAUAUGACAUUU